rnacentral:misc_RNA from 1 species
GAUGAAGAACGUAGCGAAAUGCGAUAAGUAAUGUGAAUUGCAGAAUUCAGUGAAUCAUCGAAUCUUUGAACGCACAUUGCGCCCUUUGGUAUUCCGAAGGGCAUGCCUGUUCGAGCGUCAUUUCACCACUCAAGCCUGGCUUGGUAUUGGGCGCCGCGGUCGAUCCGCGCGCCUCAAAGUCUCCGGCUGAGCUGUCCGUCUCUAAGCGUUGUGAUUUCAUUAAUCGCUUCGGAGUGCGGGCGGCCGCGGCCGUUAAAUCGUUCACAAGGUUGACCUCGGAUCAGGUAGGGAUACCCGCUGAACUUAAGCAUAUCAAUAAGCGGAGGA